AUUAUUACCGCGGCUGCUGGCCACUCCACCUGAUGCAGCCAUGCCGCGUGUAUGAAGAAGGCCUUCGGGUUGUAAAGUACUUUCAGCGGGGAGGAAGGUGUUGAGGUUAAUAACCUCAGCAAUUGACGUUACCCGCAGAAGAAGCACCUCCCGUAGGAGUAAUCUCUAAA
rnacentral:rRNA from 1 species